UCCCUGGUGGCUCAGAUGGUAAAGCAUCUGCCUGCAAUGCGGGAGACCCAGGUUCAAUCCCUGGGUCGGGAA
rfam:TPA: Bos taurus chromosome 4, whole genome shotgun sequence.